ACAGGUAAGGGUGAAAGGGUGCGGUAAGAGCGCACCGGAUUGCUGGUAACAGUAAUUGCAGGGUAAACUCCACUCGGAGCAAGACCAAAUAGGGUUCCAGUACUCUUUAUUGAGUUAAUGCGCGGCUCGCGUUGGAACCGGGUAGGUUGCUUGAGCCUUAGAGCGAUUUAAGGCCUAGACGAAUGAUUGUCACUUUUCUACUUUUAAUGUUUAUUUUGAGUAAAAGCUACAAAACCCGGCUUAUGUGUCAGCUCACCUA
rnacentral:RNase_P_RNA from 1 species